rnacentral:rRNA from 1 species
AAUGAACGCUGGCGGCAGGCCUAACACAUGCAAGUCGAACGGGUCCUUCUGGAUAGUGGCGAACGGGUCAGUAACGCGUAGGCAAUCUGCCUUCUAGAUGGGGACAACAUCCCGAAAGGGGUGCUAAUACCGAAUGUUGUAGUUGGUCCGCAUGGACUAGCUACUAAAGGUGGCCUCUGAAUAUGCUACCGCUAGAAGAUGAGCCUGCGUCUGAUUAGCUAGUUGGAGGGAUAACGGCCCACCAAGGCUUCGAUCAGUAGCCGGUCUGAGAGGAGGAACGGCCACACUGGGACUGAGACACGGGCCAGACUCCUACGGGAGGCAGCAGUGGGGAAUCUUCCGCAAUGGACGAAAGUCUGACGGAGCAACGCCGCGUGAGUGAAGAAGGUUUUCGGAUCGUAAAGCUCUUUCGUUAGGGACGAACGUGCUCUUUGUGAAUAAUGAGGAGUAAUGACGGUACCUAAAUAAGAAGCCACGGCUAACUACGUGCCAGCCGCCGCGGUAA